rnacentral:rRNA from 1 species
GAUGAACGCUGGCGGCGUGCUUAACACAUGCAAGUCGAGCGAAGCGCUUUACUUAGAUUUCUUCGGAUUGAAAAGUUUUGCGACUGAGCGGCGGACGGGUGAGUAACGCGUGGGUAACCUGCCUCAUACAGGGGGAUAACAGUUAGAAAUGACUGCUAAUACCGCAUAAGACCACAGUACCGCAUGGUACAGUGGGAAAAACUCCGGUGGUAUGAGAUGGACCCGCGUCUGAUUAGCUAGUUGGUAAGGUAACGGCUUACCAAGGCGACGAUCAGUAGCCGACCUGAGAGGGUGACCGGCCACAUUGGGACUGAGACACGGCCCAAACUCCUACGGGAGGCAGCAGUGGGGAAUAUUGCACAAUGGGGGAAACCCUGAUGCAGCGACGCCGCGUGAAGGAUGAAGUAUUUCGGUAUGUAAACUUCUAUCAGCAGGGAAGAAAAUGACGGUACCUGACUAAGAAGCCCCGGCUA